CAGACGAUGCGUCAUGCAUAUCAAUAAGCGGAGGAAAAGAAACUAACAAGGAUUCCCUCAGUAACGGCGAGUGAAGCGGGAAGAGCUCAAAUUUGAAAUCUUGAAAGGUCACCUUUUACGAAUUGUAGUUUAAAGAAGUGUUUUCUGUUAAGAUUUGGUAAUAAGGUUCUUUGGAAUAGGACAUCAUAGAGGGUGAGAAUCCCGUCUAUGAUUGCGAUUUGUAGCUUUGUGAUACACUUUCAAAGAGUCGGAUUGUUUGGGAAUGCAGUCCAAAAUGGGUGGUAAAUUUCAUCUAAAGCUAAAUAUUGGCGAGAGACCGAUAGCGAACAAGUACCGUGAGGGAAAGAUGAAAAGAACUUUGAAAAGAGAGUUAAACAGUACGUGAAAUUGUCAAAAGGGAAGCGUUUGACACCAGUGUUGUUUUCUCGAAAAUCAAUUAAAAAGAGUUUGAUUUUGUUGUGUAUUGACCUUAACAGCUUGCAUUUCAAUUUUCUUGCUUUUUUUAAUGCACUUUUCGUUUAACAAGUCAACAUCAGUUUCUUUUGUUGUAAAAAGGUCAUUGGAAGGUGGCUUUCUUUUCGGAGAAAGUGUUUAUAGCCUUUGACUCCUGCAAUCGGAGAGACUGAGGUCUGCAGCGUAGAUCCUUCGGGGUCAGAUACAUUUGUGCUAAGUUAUAGCUUUUUAUAGACAACUUGUUGACUAUGAUUAGUCUUGUAGCUUACUCGCUUAUGCUAUUUUACCUACGCUUAGGAUGUUGAGCGCAUGUCUCUCUCU
rnacentral:rRNA from 1 species